CUGUGGAGUGUACAAGAACUUGUGAGUAGCAUAUUGUUUUCAAUUGCCAAAACAUGCACAUUGAAGCAGUAA
rnacentral:sRNA from 1 species